rnacentral:rRNA from 1 species
GACGAACGCUGGCGGCGUGCCUAAUACAUGCAAGUCGAACGCAGUUGCGAACGGGUGAGUAACGCGUAGGUAACUGCCUCAUAGCGGGGGAUAACUAUUGGAAACGAUAGCUAAUACCGCAUACUGUGAGAUGGACCUGCGUUGUAUUAGCUAGUUGGGGAGGUAAAGGCUCACCAAGGCGACGAUACAUAGCCGACCUGAGAGGGUUGUCGGCCACACCGGGACUGAGACACGGCCCAGAAUCCGACGGGAGGCAGGCGGAGGGAAUCUUCGGCAAUGGACGGAAGGCUUACCGAUCAACUCCGGGGGAGUGGAGAAGGGCCUCGGAGCUUAAAGCUCUGUUGUGAGAGAAGCGUUAACUAACCAGAAAGGGACGGCUAACUACGUGCCAGCCGCCGCGGUAAUUC